AGACAAUAUAUAAAAUAAAAUAUCACAUGUCGGUUAACCAAGGGUAAGGGUAUACCACUUGAGGGCGGGGAUUUCGUUCCUUCAUCUAGGGAUGGGAGAUUCCGUGCUUUGAAUGCUAUCAAUGCAAUCAAGUUGUUUUCGACCUCCACUGAUCUAGAGGUGCAACGAACGAGAGUGAGUCUACUGGCUCAGUGUGAGUACUAUAUACUUUCUUCUUCCUCUGAAACUCUUAUCUUAGUCUCAUAUCUAGUGGCUCUUUCAGAUAGUUCUCAGAGGUCAUUGAAAACUAUGCCUUCAAACUUAUUUAUCAAUUCGAAGUAAAGACCGGCCAGUUUCACAAAGUCUGACUCAGGAAUGGUAACCAGGCAUCUGACAAAAGCUCUAUGGAACCUCAUAAUGAAUUGUUAUCCUCCUACUUCUUUGCAGAACCAACUAAUGGAAUAGGAGAAGCGGGGAGAUUGAUUCGUUUAAGUUUCCGAAGUAAGUUCGCCUAGUUUUAGGUUUUAGCACCUUCGCUGUAGAAGCACCUCUUUCCGACGCUAAGCGCAAAAGGCACUCGAAGGAGUAGUGGGACCAACCAUCACUACCAUAGGGCUCUAGUGAGAAAUCCUGCCACCUCAUAUUCCUAUUUCCCCUCACGUGUCAACAAGCAAGUUGGGUGCUCUCCCUUAACGUGGUAGGACUCUGUUGCAGGUCUUGACGUUGGCUGAUUAAAAAAGGGCAUCCUCGUCGCAGCAAAGCAAAGCCCGUCUUUCUUAGUUUAGUCAAAAAACGAGACUUUCACAGGUCCGAUAGGUCUUUCUACUAUACUAGUAGGGUGGUUACCUUCAAAUGCGUUAAUUUGCCUUUUUAGACCUUCUUUGUCAACAAGAGCCAAAAACUUGGUCUUCAAUCCUCAAAAAGAAAAGAAAAAAUAAGAACUAAGCGAACAAUUUUGCUUGUGAUGAUAAUGUUGAAGUUAAUGCUUGACAUGUGGUGAUGUGGGCUUCGUGUAGUUCUUCUAUGGUUACUCACAGCAAUAUGUAUCAAGACUGGUAGGCCUCAAAUCGCAAAACUGAUACAUUUGACUCCCCUGCCCAAGCCUUCACAUCCAAGAAUGGGGUCUCCAACGCGGCGGCAGCAGUGUCAUAAAUGCCGGCUUUUACAGUAGAGAAGACCAGGAAUUCUAUCAGAAAUUGAGUAUCAAUUGGGACCUGAGAGUUGUGAACGAGUCGUACGAGUGGGUUGAGAAGGCAGUUGUGUUUAGUCCGGAGCUUAGGAACUGGUAAUCAUCGGUUAGAGAUGGGUUGUUGGAAGCUGGGGUUAAACCAUAUAAUGGCUUCAGCUUUGAUCAUUUGCUGGGUACUAAGAUUGGUGG
rnacentral:misc_RNA from 1 species